UACUCCUACGGGAGGCAGCAGGCGCGUAAAUUACCCAAUGGGGACAUCCCGAGGUAGUGACAAUAAAUACUGCUGCGAGCGCCUUACGGUGCCCGCAAGUGGAAUGAGUACAAUUUAAAUCCCUUAACGAGGAACGAUUGGAGGGCAAGUCUGGUG
rnacentral:rRNA from 1 species